rnacentral:misc_RNA from 1 species
AACGCACAUUGCGCCCCUUGGUAUUCCGGGGGGCAUGCCUGUUCGAGCGUCAUUACAACCCUCAAGCUCUGCUUGGUAUUGGGCAUCACCAGUUCUGGUGUGCUCUAAAAUCAGUGGCGGUGCCGUCUGGCUCUAAGCGUAGUACAUACUCUCGCUAUGGAUGCCCGGCGGAUGCUUGCCAGCAACCCCCAAUUUUUUAAGGUUGACCUCGGAUCAGGUAGGGAUACCCGCUGAACUUAA